rnacentral:rRNA from 1 species
AACGAACGCUGGCGGCAGGCUUAACACAUGCAAGUCGAACGCAUCCUUCGGGGUGAGUGGCAGACGGGUGAGUAACGCGUGGGAACGUGCCCUUCAGUUCGGGAUAACCCAGGGAAACUUGGGCUAAUACCGGAUACGCGCGAGAGCAGAAAGAUUUAUCGCUGAAGGAUCGGCCCGCGGCUGAUUAGCUAGUUGGUGGGGUAAUGGCCCACCAAGGCGACGAUCAGUAGCUGGUCUGAGAGGAUGAUCAGCCACAUUGGGACUGAGACACGGCCCAAACUCCUACGGGAGGCAGCAGUGGGGAAUAUUGGACAAUGGGCGCAAGCCUGAUCCAGCCAUGCCGCGUGAGUGAUGAAGGCCUUAGGGCUGUAAAGCUCUUUCGUCCGGGACGAUAAUGACGGUACCGGAAGAAGAAGCCCCGGCUAACUUCGUGCCAGCCGCCGCUGUAA